UGGGGAAUAUUGGGCAAUGGGCGCAAGCCUGACCCAGCAACGCCGCGUGAAGGAAGAAGGCUUUCGGGUUGUAAACUUCUUUUCUCAGGGACGAAGAAAGUGACGGUACCUGAGGAAUAAGCCACGGCUAACUACGUGCCAGCAGCCGCGGUAAUACGUAGGUGGCAAGCGUUAUCCGGAUUUACUGGGUGUAAAGGGCGUGUAGGCGGGAAAGCAAGUCAGAUGUGAAAACCAUGGGCUCAACCUGUGGCCUGCAUUUGAAACUGUUUUUCUUGAGUACUGGAGAGGCAGACGGAAUUCCUAGUGUAGCGGUGAAAUGCGUAGAUAUUAGGAGGAACACCAGUGGCGAAGGCGGUCUGCUGGACAGCAACUGACGCUGAGGCGCGAAAGCGUGGGGAGCAAACAGGAUUAGAUACC
rnacentral:rRNA from 1 species